rnacentral:rRNA from 1 species
AGCGAACGCUGGCGGCAGGCCUAACACAUGCAAGUCGAACGAAGUCUUCGGACUUAGUGGCGGACGGGUGAGUAACACGUGGGAACGUACCUUUUGGUUCGGAACAACUCAGGGAAACUUGAGCUAAUACCGAAUGAGCCCUUAGGGGGAAAGAUUUAUCGCCGAAAGAGCGGCCCGCGUUAGAUUAGCUAGUUGGUGAGGUAAAGGCUCACCAAGGCUACGAUCUAUAGCUGGUCUGAGAGGAUGAUCAGCCACACUGGGACUGAGACACGGCCCAGACUCCUACGGGGGGCAGCAGUGGGGAAUCUUGCGCAAUGGGCGAAAGCCUGACGCAGCCAUGCCGCGUGAAUGAUGAAGGUCUUAGGAUUGUAAAAUUCUUUUACCAGGGACGAUAAUGACGGUACCUGGAGAAAAAGCCCCGGCUAACUUCGUGCCAGCCGCCGCAGUAAAAC